CCUACGGGAGGCAGCAGUAGGGAAUCUUCCACAAUGGACGAAAGUCUGAUGGAGCAACGCCGCGUGAGUGAUGAAGGUUUUCGGAUCGUAAAACUCUGUUGUAAGGGAAGAACAAGUACGAGAGGUAAUGCUCGUACCUUGACGGUACCUUGCGAGAAAGCCACGGCUAACUACGUGCCAGCAGCCGCGGUAAUACGUAGGUGGCAAGCGUUGUCCGGAAUUAUUGGGCGUAAAGCGCGCGCAGGCGGCCUUUUAAGUCUGAUGUGAAAGCCCCCGGCUCAACCGGGGAGGGUCAUUGGAAACUGGAAGGCUUGAGUACAGAAGAGAAGAGUGGAAUUCCAUGUGUAGCGGUGAAAUGCGUAGAGAUGUGGAGGAACACCAGUGGCGAAGGCGACUCUUUGGUCUGUAACUGACGCUGAGGCGCGAAAGCGUGGGGAGCAAACAGGAUUAGAUACCCUGGUAGUCCACGCCGUAAACGAUGAGUGCUAGGUGUUGGGGGGUUUCCGCCCGUCAGUGCUGAAGCUAACGCAUUAAGCACNCCGCCGUCGGGAGGUACGGCCGGCCGACGGCGNGAACGUACAAAGUAGUAAGUUAGUACGGCGUGAGACGUAGCCGACGGACGACGACGAGGGGAGGAGGG
rnacentral:rRNA from 1 species